ensembl:lncRNA
GAGGGCUGUUAGCGGCGCGCUGUGCAAGUGAAGUGUGUUCAGUGUGGAGAAAAUCUCAUGGCAACAGUCAGCACCAGUUGUUUGAUACUGUAGCUCAGCCUGAGCUUUGGCAUGAUGGGUGCCUUGCUGAGCCCACAAUGGAUCAUGCAUGACCACAGCACUUAAAAAUAGAAGUGGAGAAAGCAAAACUGCAGAUAUUCUAGCAGCUGCCUUGUGGCAUAAAUAUUGUGAUAUGAGCCAUUUAUAAUCAAUCUGAAAACAAAUAUAUUUUCUUUGAAUGUAUUACAGUGACACAAAGUGACACUCUUACGUAUAAGAAAAUGUGUGUUAGCGUUAUUGCGUUUGAAGGUUUUUCUUUUUCUGUUCUUUUUUUUUUUAUAGAAAAGAUGCAUACCAAGCUUGGGGAAUAGAGACUGACAGCAUGUGUCCAGCAGACAAGUAAAUGGUAAGAUAAUGAACUCUGCUCAGUUGUGUCUUUUUGAACUUGUAUGUUUCAAACUUGCAUUAGGGCAAGUAGUAUCCUUUGAAGCUUUUAGACAUUUGUCAGCUUGUUGCUUCUACAUUUGCCUUUACAAUAAAGUACAUAAUGCAGUAGGAUCUUUAUUUAUUAUGUUGUUUUUUUAGAUCUUAUGCUAAAACAUAAAAGCUGUUCUUUCAGCUGUUUUUUUUUUUCACUUAAAAGUCAUAAAGGAAACUCUGACAUUAGACUAAACAAAUCAGUACUUUACAAUGAUGAAUGCCUUAUUCUCACAGUCCCUUCACUCUGAAUAUGAACACAAAGUUAAUUUAGUUAUUUAUUUAUUUUUACAGUCGGUACUUAUUUAAAUCACUGUAAGCUUAGCAAGAAUGCUACUUACUGUAUAGGCAAAGCUAUCAAUAGCAUUCAAUAGCAGUAGUAAAUAGCAUUAGAAGUAGCAAUGUUACUCAGUAUUUGCUAGAUGUGUGAAUAGGCUCAUAAUUGCUAACAUCUUUACUAUAUCAAUUCCUAUGGGACCUUAUCUAGGUCAGGUUUUUGUUAUGCACCACCCACUGAGAAUAUUAAAUUUGGGCAUUGUAGGCCUAACACUUAUUACUAUGCUUGCGAUACCAGUCA